GGGGAAUUUGGGGUGUAGAGUACUGAUCCAAAAUAAAGGCCUAAAAUUCUUGUUGCAGGCUGGGCUGGCUGGUUUUUGGCAUCAUAAUCACUAUCAAAACAAACAUCACAGAUAAUAAAUAACCUGUCCGUCAAACCCUUUCACAGGGCUCCUGGUGUAAUCACAGAUACAUUUCUGUCUGAGAGGGCAGGUCCAAGUGUCAGCAGCUCUCUCACUGGGCUUGUUAUCAAAAUCAAUAUAAAAUAUAGAAACUACAGAAGAUUGUUUGGAACGAGGCAGCCAGUCUAACAAUAUAGACUAAGCUCUAUGUUGUACUUCUGUUUAUUAUAAUCCCUCUUCCAAUACUUAUCUGUACUGCAGUCAUGUGAUACACGUGUGCACAUGUGACAACAGUUCAGGGUGUUAUUUCAAGACUCUCCAUGGAAAUUACAUUUUCAACCCUGUGGCCUUUACUGCGUGUGUGUGUGUGUGUUAUGCUUGAAUAUUAGGCCUUUUCCCACCAACAAGUCACAUGAAAAUAUCAACUUAAUACAUUAAAUGGGAAAUUAAAUGGGAAAUCAAAUAAAUAGGGGAUUUAAUACAAAGGUAAAUAAACACACAGAUUAAAACAGUAAAUAUCAAUUUAUCUUUAGUCAUCGCAGUUAAUCAAUUAAUUAAUGCCUAAACCUUUCUACCAUUAUUCUGGUGCAUUUAAUGGCAUAUUCAUAUUUGUUGUUGAGCUUUUUUUUUAAUGUAUGUAUUUAUUUUUCUUAAUAGCAGUUUCAGUCCUCCAUAGAAAAGGAAGCUAACAUAAAUGACUGCUGAAUUCCGUUUGGCUGCUUAAUUUUCAGGGUCCUGGUGAUGUGCAUCCUGCCAUAGUGCCACAUAGCAAUACAGGGACCCUUGAAUAGAACAAAGCCAUUGUGAAUGCUACAUGGAAACAUGGAUGACUUCACAGUGUGGCUCGGCAGCGAGAGAGGGGAAGUCAUUAGGGUAUUCUGGGUUAACAAGGCGGCGAGCUGGAUAUGCAGACUUCAGCAGGAGCCUUCACCAGCACUGAGGGAUGGCACUCAUGCAGAGUAAACUUCCUCAGCCGUAUGGCUUCCAAUAUAUCACAGUUUCUAACCGAGUUGGACAGUUAGAGCAUGAUGUAGUCUGAUCCACUUCCAGGGAAAUAAAACUCCAAUAGCUCAAGAGAUCUGCAUUCGGUUAGUUGUGCACAUGUCUGUGUAUUACUUAUGACAGGCCGUCUUAAAAUCUCAAACUAUUAUAGUAUGUGUGCUCAAGUAGUUUAAUUCCAACAUUAACUUCUUCUAAUGGUUAUCAAAUGUCAAGUAUCAGUUUCAUACCGUACAUUCAGUCAGUAGUAGAAAGUGACUGAGUCCAUUUCAAGUAGGACACUAAAUAACUAUUUAGAGGUAUGUCGAACUUACUAUACUUACUAUACAUUGUAUUGUAUUUUCAUUUUCUGCUAUGUUGUAUUUCUACUCCACAGCAUUUCAUUCAUUACAUUCAGUAUUUAGAAUAUUAUACUUUAAGACAACUACAGUUAUUUGACUUAUUACUUUAUUAAUGGUGAUUUAAAAAAUCUGCACACAUUGUUAUAGUGUACAUUGAGCAACAGUACAUAUUGUUAUGUAUAUAAAAGGUCCAAUUUGUAAGGAAGUUGAUUUUUGAGUCUCAUUCCUAACUCUCAGUGUCAGUAUUUGACAAGUUGGGCUCAAAAAUCUACUUUCUUACAAACUGGACCUUUAAACAGUUUAUAGAAACGUCACUUCAAGCAACUGCAACAUUAAAAUGCUUCUUACACAUUAAUAGGAAAAAGAAUUGAAUAACACAUCUCUCAGUUAUUUCAUCCAUUGUUGAUAAAAAACAUUGUGAUUAAAAUAUAAUUUUGAAUAAACAUGUCUUUUGUUUUCUUUCUGUUUUUGUUUAGUAAUUGUUUAUUAGGACUUUGACUUAAAGCUGCUUUACUGGAUUUUCUGUCCACUAGGAGGCAGCAGAGCCAUCUGAAAACACAAUAUUGGACAUAUUAUGAACUUGUUACAGCAACUGGCAAUAGACAUUUAUUGUGCUUCAGUGUAUCAUUAUGAAGUAAAUGUUAACUGCACAAUGUAACCAUUGUUAACAUUGGUUCCCUCUAAACCCUGCUAUCACAAUAUAGUUUUGUUUGCCACUGGGCACGCGGAAAAAAGGAUGGUUAACUGGCGAUCCAUUUCAUUGCAGACUUAAUGAGUG
ensembl:lncRNA